rnacentral:tRNA from 1 species
GGGGCUGUAGUGUAGCCUGGUUCAUAUGGUAGGUUAAUUAAUUUUAAUUUAUAUAUGCAGCAACUAUCACUAGUGGUUUGGGACCGCUGAACCCCGGUUCGAAUCCGGGCAGCCCCA